UACGAGGGGGGCGAGCGUUGUUCGGAAUUAUUGGGCGUAAAGGGUGCGUAGGCGGUUUGGUAAGUCUCGUGUGAAAUCUCCGGGCUCAACUCGGAGCCUGCACGAGAAACUGCCGGGCUUGAGUGUGGGAGAGGUGAGUGGAAUUCCCGGUGUAGCGGUGAAAUGCGUAGAGAUCGGGAGGAAGGCCGGUGGCGAAGGCGGCGCUCUGGAACGUUUCUGACACUGAGGCUCGAAAGCGUGGGGAGCAAACAGG
rnacentral:rRNA from 1 species